AUUCUACAAACAGUCAAAUAUAAACCUUGUCGGUCUUCUUUCCUCGUGGACAGGAAACACACCAGCGGUAUGCGUUGGGUGAUUCCAUUGUGCCUUUUGCAGUUGACCGGAAUAUCACUUUGUUUCGCGUGGCCAACAAGCAAGAGUAAGGGUUUUCGACACCUUCGGUGGAGUAUUAACCAAUAG
rnacentral:rRNA from 1 species